rnacentral:rRNA from 1 species
AGUGAACGCUGGCGGUAGGCCUAACACAUGCAAGUCGAACGGCAGCACAGUAAGAGCUUGCUCUUACGGGUGGCGAGUGGCGGACGGGUGAGGAAUACAUCGGAAUCUACUUUUUCGUGGGGGAUAACGUAGGGAAACUUACGCUAAUACCGCAUACGACCUACGGGUGAAAGCAGGGGAUCUUCGGACCUUGCGCGAUUGAAUGAGCCGAUGUCGGAUUAGCUAGUUGGCGGGGUAAAGGCCCACCAAGGCGACGAUCCGUAGCUGGUCUGAGAGGAUGAUCAGCCACACUGGAACUGAGACACGGUCCAGACUCCUACGGGAGGCAGCAGUGGGGAAUAUUGGACAAUGGGCGCAAGCCUGAUCCAGCCAUACCGCGUGGGUGAAGAAGGCCUUCAGGUUGUAAAGCCCUUUUGUUGGGAAAGAAAAGCAGCAGGUUAAUACCCCGCUCUUCUGACGGUACCCAAAGAAUAAGCACCGGCUAACUUCGUG